CGAACGGGUGAGUAACACGUGGGUUACCUGCCCCGAUGAUUGGGACAACCCGAGGAAACUCGGGCCAAUACCAAAUGUGCUCCUGGCCGUAAUGGCCUUGAGGAAAGGAAGCUUCGGCCUCCGCAUCGGGAUGGGCCCGCGGCCCAUUAGCUAGUUGGUGGGGUAAAGGCCUACCAAGGCGACGAUGGGUAGCUGGUCUGAGAGGACGAUCAGCCACACUGGGACUGAGACACGGCCCAG
rnacentral:rRNA from 1 species